UGGGGAAUGGUGUAACGGUAGCACGAGUGACUCUGACUCACUUAGUUAUGGUUCGAAUCCAUAUUCCCCAA
rnacentral:tRNA from 1 species